GGGGGCGUGGCUAAAUCCAUGGCGGGUCCCAGUCUGCUCAAAUGUCAGAGCCCAGUAUACGUGUCUUUUGUCAGCAAGGCCACCUUGUGGGAACGAGGACUCUGCCGCCAAACCGCCCACAAACGUCCAAACCACGGUCCCUUAUUGUGUCCACGGUUCUUGUCUCACAUGACCGCCCGCCCCGAGGACCUCAGGCCUCCUUGUGUCCCGAGCUCCGGGUCCAGACCGCUGCCCCCCCCUCGGGAGAAGACGGCGGUAACGCACGCCCUCGCUGCACCGAAGACACAAACGCUGGACGGUUUCUUCCGUCUCCAUCCAGACGGGAGAAGGAAAAGUGCGCCGAUGGCGGGAAGGCGCUCUGCUGCUGUUGUUGUUCCCUGUCCUCCACCCUCCGCUGCCCCACCGCCACGCACCGCCAACCCAACACCGCCCCGCCAAAACUCCCCGCACGGCGACUUCGAGAGGCGGCGAAGAAGCCGGUCGGCAUCUCCCUGCGACGAGCCACCUGCCCCGGGGGGGGGCGUUGAAGUCCGUGAGACGGCUCCGCGACCCGCCGCCGCGUCCCCCCACCCGGGCUGCCGGCUGCCUGCGGAGCCGAAUGGAUCGGAAGCGCCACCGCCGCCGGCGGCCUCCUCCUCCUCCUCCAUCUCACACGGGUCGCUCUCAGAUUUCAGCCGCCCACCGUCCAGCCGGUUCAGCCGCAGCACCGACCUCGCCAGCGGCCGGAGCAGCGUCCUGUCCGGCGAUCUCGGAGACUCGGAGCCAGGAGGCGGCGUUUGCUCCUCACCGCUCCAGCCUCGCCCGGUGACGGGGUCACCCUCGGCUCCUCGCCCUCCGCCGGCAUCCCACCCUCGCCAACCAUCCGCCGAUGCUUCGGCCACCCCUCUCCUCUACGAACCGCUAUUUGGGCAAACCCGACCCCUCUCGCCGCCGUCGACGUCAGGUGGGCUUCGUCAAUCAGAUAACCCUCCGAGCAGGAGCGAAAGCCCCGAUGCGACAAAGUAUCUCCAACCAGUUCCAUCAGAAGCUCCUGGUCCCCACCCAUCCAUGGCCUCCGACCGCGGCCUCGUCGGCCUGGCUUUCCCCUCCGCCACCUGGUCCUCCUGCCCGAGUCCGCAGAGGACCACUCCCCGCUCCUCGGGGUCAGGACCGGCUCCGACCCCUCCUGCGUCGGCGCCCCGUCUGGAGUCUCGUCGCUGGUCCCCGCUGCCUCCCAUCUCCCCUGUCGGAGGACGCUGUGGCACCGCAGCAUCCCGCUACUCCGAGCUCAGCUGCACUCAGUCCCGCGCGUUCGAUGAGCUGGAGGCCAUCGCCCCUCGCUCGCUGUCCUCCCCGUCUCUGGACCGGCUGUCGGACUCCUCCGGGUGCCCUUCACCUGACACAGCAGAGCUGUCUCCGGGCCUGGCGGCGCUGACGGUGGGCUGUGACUCCGGGACCCUGGGCUCUCUGUCCCGGGUGCAGCUGCUCCUCCUGGACCGGCCGCAGCCCGACACCCGGCCGGGUCUGUUCGGCCCGGAAGAGGAGCUCUCGCCGGUGCAAGACUGGCCUCGUCUCGCGAUGCAACAUGAAGGUGGCGUGAGGCCCCGCACAGCUGGCGGCGUCUCUGAAAGGUGUGACUCCGCAGGGAAAGUCCACGAAAACAAAUCGGAGGGGUCCGAAGACGGUUUCUGGCUCUCCGUCUUCGUGGAUCAUCGACCCGGAGUCCAUCGCUCGCCAUGUUCAGAUCCGCCCUCUCCCCUUGCGUGUCCGAUCUCGGUUCCAGCGGAGGGGAAGGGGGCCCCGCCGAGGAGGAGGAGGAGGCCAAUUAUCCGGGAUGGGGGCAACAAGUCGAAUCCUCAGCCGCAGGACGGAGGCCCGCGAGCCUUGAUGGCAGAAGUGAGGAGAGGAAGCGGAGGAUGGAGGAGAGGAAAACAAAGGUGCUGAGCUUGCUCUCCAAGCUGCAGGACGACGGGCCGCGGCAGCCAAAGGGCCACCGGAGCUGCUCCAACUUCCAGGACUAUAAAAGCGUGGAGGUCACACAAGGAGAUAUAAAUCAUGCACAGAUGAGCGUUCGGAGGCCAGAGACGUCCAUCCGUCAGCUGCAGACGUCGAAGACGGCGUCCGCGUUAAAUGAGUCGUGACCCGCGGCUGCGCCAGAGAAAGGGAACAAAACCCCCAAAAAACAAACGCCAGUGAAAGGCCCGAACCUCCCCGCUCAUCAUCAUCAUCGCGGCCCCCAUUCUUCCUCUCUCAAUUGCAACUGAAUCGCCUCGGCCUCAUUACAGAUUACGGCCUCCGCGGAGUGACUCUCCCCUUUCUCUCGCCUUUUCUCCACACAGUCCCUCUCUUGAUUAACAUUUUCUGCUAGGCUUCACACCAAAGGCCCAACCUGUGCGCUCUAAAGGCGGGGUGAAAAAAAAGAAAAAGCCAUCAAGCGCUGGAGUGGAAUCAGAUAAGGCUAUCAGGCAGGAGGCUUUGCUGCCUCGCCUUUGUCCCGCUCCUCCACCCGCCCUCGCUUCCUCCCUCAAUCUCUCACUCCGCUGCACCUUUUGUCCGGCUGAUUCCCUGACGGAGUGCUCCCCUCAGACAAGGACCCCCCCGACCUCCUGCAGCACCACCGUGUGUGUGUGUGUGUGUGGAGGGGGGGGGUUACUUGUAUUGCAGACAAGACCAGGCAGGCUGUGGUCAGAGCCGACGUUGAACUUCCUUAAACUCUGCUUCGCUCAAAGUCACCGUUCGUAUCACAGUUAGAGCCCGUGUGCUGGACUGCGUUGAACUGAACCACGAUGUGUAAGUUUACACUACAUGGAGGGCUGCUGGUGACGGGGCGCCUCCACCUGUGGAAAGCCGGACUCGUGAGGCAGGAGCUCGUCUCCCACCUGAGCGGCUCCAGCAGAGAGCGCGGCGGCGAUAGCGGCCCGGGUCGUCGCGGCGGACUCCUCCUCUAGUUGACUUUUUGGCAAAGUAUUGCAUUUUCAGUCAGGAGAAGCUGGCCGAGUACAAAAGGGCUUUUGAAGCAGAGGACGCUGAUGAUGACGGCUACAUAUCCUGCCUUCAGGCUCUGCUCGCGCUCAAGAGCGUCAUCCCCGCGGAGCGGCUGUCCGACGAAGAAGAAAUCUACGUCUACAGGAUCUUAGAGAUGGUGGACUUCAGCGUGACAGAUGGGCUGGUGGACCUCCGGCUCUUUGCUGUGAUUGCGAGCCUGGCGCAGAAAGUGGCGGCCAUGGAUGAGUUCAUGCGAUCGCUAAUCACCGACAUGGACUUCCGCUCGUUAGAAGUGAGGCUCUUCAAAGCGAAGCAACUGUUCCUGUUCCUCAUGGAGGAGCAGCAAGGAGACGCCGGAGCCCAGCGGGGCUCCAUCAGCGCGGAGCAGCUCCUUCUGGAGCUGAAGGCCGGGGGCAUCCACCUGGAGCAGGAGGCGGCCGUGCGGCUGGAGCUGCAGCGCAUCCCCCCCCUGGACCUGCUGGACUUCCUGGCCUACCUGCCGCUCUUCAUGCUCAUUCACAAGUCGGUCAUCGCCAACCCUCUCAAUGACUCCGGCGACCUCUGACCUCGGCCCUUGGCACCUGGCGAAGCAGCGUCACUGCCGUUAAAUCCACCAACACGCAGGAACCCUUCAUUUAAUUUGUUUUGUUUUUACAUUACUAGUAAAGAUAAGUCUGGUUAUUAGCUAUUUAGUUAGCCUGGAAUGCUAACGUGCAGUUAGCUGCUAACUGCCAGCUCAGCACGUUGAGCGUUAUGAAACUUUUGCAACUUCUUUUCACAACCACUUGAUGUUUGUCUCAUUGAUUAAUAUAUUGUUCUGUGGUUCCUGUUAACGUUUCAUGGAGCUGUGAAGUGCUGUCUAUGGUCCUGAAAUGUUUCCGUAGAUGUUGCAGCCGUUUGAAAAAGCUUUAAACGCAUCAAAAAGUUGCAUUAAAUAAAAGCACCUCCAAACGGGGCGGGGCUCUCUUCU
ensembl:lncRNA